CAGCCGUCCUGCACACUGUUGGGCUCCUGCAGAAGACGGAACACCAACCUGACCCCCCUGGAGAGAAUGGAGAACACAUGCUGCCCUUUGGAAGUUUUGCAUCGAUUUGGGUUUGCACCCCCCCAGGCAGGCCAAACCCAGCCCUCUGAUCUUUGAGGACUCUGAUCUCUGAGGACUCUGGUCUCUGAGGACUCUGGUCUCUGAGGACUCUGAUCUCUGGUCUCUGAGGACUCUGGUCUCCGAGGACUCUGGUCUCUGAGGACUCUAGUCUCUGAGGACUCUGAUCUCUGGUCUCUGAGGACUCUGGUCUCUGAGGACUCUGGUCUCUGAGGACUCUAGUCUCUGGUCUCUGAGGACUCUGGUCUCUGAGGACUCUGGUCUCUGAGGACUCUGGUCUCUGCUCUCUGAGGACUCUGGUCUCUGAGGACUCUGGUCUCUGAGGAUUCUGGUCUCUGAGGACUCUGGUCUCUGAGGACUCUGGUCUCUGAGGACUCUGAUCUCUGAGGACUCUGGUCUCUGGUCUGUGAGGUCUCUGACCUCUGAGGACUCGGUCGAGACACCAGGUAGACCGGAGCGAGCCAAGGGAGGAUGAGGAGGUUUUUCAGAGCGCGAGACGAAGACUCCAGUCAGAUCCAGUACCUGACGGCCAAGUGUCACCGGCUGGCUCACGAGAGAGCCCAGCUUGAGAGGGACACCUUGGUGACCAGGGAGAGACAGCGGAGGCUACAGAAUGAUCUGGAAGCGAUGGGCGCUCACCUCCAGCAGAAGGAGCAGAUGAUUGUGGAGCUGAGGAGAAAACAGGACUACCUGGUGGACCACCUCAACCGACAGCAGGGCUCUGAACCGCAACUACUUAUUGCAGAACGUAAUGCCAUGCAGCGUGGAAGACCCGCUGGGCCUGAGACAAGGAGAUGGAGGGAAUCUUGGAAGAGCAGCUCAGCUUCCAUCUCUGCACCACCCAGCUAGAGAGAGCCAAGCCUGAUUCCCUCACUGCUGGGAACCGUCCUAAUAUCUGUAGCAUUCUUCCUAAAUAUGAUCCAAACAAACCGACUGACCCUCGGGUUGAAGUGUGUAUUAUGAAUCAGUUCACUUGCACGGGCCUGGUGGAAUUCCUUAAGCAUCAUGCGGGCCUGAGAGCGGAGGUGGGCCCUACGGCGGAGGAGAACUUGAGAGACACCGAGCUGCUGGCUACGGAGCUGGAGCAGCUCCGCUCUGAGCUGCUGGCGCUGCAGAGCUCCGACGGGCAGCUGGUGGGCCUGGUGGAGGAGCUCUACGCUGAGGCCCAGCACAGAGCAGCACUGGUAGACAGCCUCCAGGAGGAGCUGCACAGUAAAUCAACGGAGGUCGAGGACCUGCGGAGACACCGGCAGAAACAGAGAGAGGAGCUGGAGCAGCUCCAGAGCGCCCACCAGAGGAAGGUACAAAGACUGUCUGACGGAGGAGAGGGAGGCGGUGGUUCAGCAGGUCAGUGACCUGGAGCAGACCGUCCUGAAGCCCAGGGGAUGUUCCCACUGCAGCAGACAGUACCACUGCCCCCUGCAGGACAGGGGCAGCAACUCCAGGCAUCGGCACCAGUCUAUGUGUGGUGCAGAGUUCCGGGCUGACCAGCAGGGGGAGCCGUGGUCAGCCCUGUGUGAGGACAAAGUCAUCACUCAGGUGGGAGGCGUGGUCGACACGGAGCAGAAACCUCCUUGAGGUUCUCCCUCCGACCAGACGAGUGUGGCUCUCCUCCCAGCCCUCUUUAGAAGAUCGAAGAACACCAGAGAGACUGUACGUCGGAACUCCGUCCGCACUCUGGUUUCACUGUUGUUAUUGUGGAGUGAACACUGAAAUAAUAAAGAGACAAUGAAGACAUGCUGUGUUGAGGUUCCUUCUCGUCUACACAUGCACCAAACAUGCACGUCUGGUUCCGUUUAGCGGUAAUAGCACGGUAAUCACCACCUGCAGACCAGCGAAUGCACCUGAGAGUUUGGGUUUGGUGUGUUCUCCUGCCAGACACUGGGGGGAACAAAACAGCUGGUGUCAACAGGAAACGAGGCUAGG
ensembl:lncRNA